ensembl:lncRNA
CGGGAGAGUGAGGGAGCGGGAGGGGCGGCUGCGGGGUGAAGUGGAGCGUGUGAUCGUGGGCGCGUGCGAGUUCCGUGUGCAUGUUUUGCAGGCGCGUGUGCAUUUCGCCCUGCCUCUUGCUUUCUGAUGCAACAUUGAACUGUGUCUCCUGGGCUACUAGGGGACCUUGUUAUGUUUUUUUUUUUUUUUCUUCCUGUCCUCGCAGGAAACGAGAACCAAUUGCUGUGCUGUUGCCAUCGGAGCGGGGAGCUCGGUCUACCCCACCCUGAAAACAAGCUCCGACAUAUCUUUCUCCAGCAUCUUGUCUCCCCCGUCCCCCUUGAACUCUUUGUUACCAGCACAUUCGGCUACCCAAAAUCCCAUUAUUGCUACUCGAGUGCACGCUGACUUCCGUGGAAUUAAACUGGAGAGCAGCAAGGGGUGUUUUGCAAUCUUAACAAUAUGGCACAGAGAUUUAGAGAGAUCCACCACCACGCUGACUCUGAGCCACGCCAAAUAAAGGGAUCGCUACUUCCUUCAUUCGCACUGAAUAUGAAGACAUUGAGGAUACAGAAGAUACAAGGAUUGGUUGUAAAAGAAAAGAAAGAAAGCCUGAUGUUGUAGUAUUAAACAGUGGUCACACC